rnacentral:rRNA from 1 species
GUGGGGAAUAUUGGACAAUGGGCGAAAGCCUGAUCCAGCCAUGCCGCGUGUGUGAAGAAGGUCUUCGGAUUGUAAAGCACUUUAAGUUGGGAGGAAGGGUAGUAACCUAAUACGUUGCUACUUUGACGUUACCGACAGAAUAAGCACCGGCUAACUUCGUGCCAGCAGCCGCGGUAAUACGAAGGGUGCAAGCGUUAAUCGGAAUUACUGGGCGUAAAGCGCGCGUAGGUGGUUCAGUAAGUUGGAAGUGAAAUCCCCGGGCUCAACCUGGGAACUGCUUUCAAAACUGCUGAGCUAGAGUACGGUAGAGGGUGGUGGAAUUUCCUGUGUAGCGGUGAAAUGCGUAGAUAUAGGAAGGAACACCAGUGGCGAAGGCGACUACCUGGACUGAUACUGACACUGAGGUGCGAAAGCGUGGGGAGCAAACAGGAUUAGAUACCCUAGUAGUCC